AUCGAACGCUGGCGGCAGGCCUAACACAUGCAAGUCGAGCGAGCGGCGGACGGGUGAGUAAUGUAUGGGGCUCUGCCCGAUAGAGGGGGAUAACUACUGGUAACGGUGGCUAAUACCGCAUACUAUCGGAUGCACCCCUAUGGGAUUAGCUAGUAGGUGGGGUAAAGGCUCACCUAGGCGACGAUCGCUAGCUGGUCUGAGAGGAUGAUCAGCCGCACUGGGAGUGAGACACGGCCCAGACUCCUACGGGAGGGAGCAGUGGGGAAUAUUGCACAGUGGGCGCGAACCUGAUGCAGCCGUGCCGCGUGUAUGAAGGAGGCCGUGGGGUUGUAAAGUACGUUCAGCGGGGAGGCGUUACCCGCAGAAGAAGCACCGGCUAACUCCGUGCCAGCAGCCGCGGUAAUUC
rnacentral:rRNA from 1 species